UGGCAGAUACGUUCGUUAGAUUACUCCUUUCUGCCCGUGGACGCCGCCGAGUAAGCAUCGUGAAAGUCUCCCCUCCCACCGCCGUCAUGUCUAAGUCAGAGUCUCCCAAAGAGCCUGAACAGCUGCGGAAGCUUUUCAUUGGAGGUUUGAGCUUUGAAACAACCGAUGAGAGUCUGAGGAGCCAUUUUGAGCAAUGGGGAACGCUUACGGACUGUGUGGUAAUGAGAGAUCCAAACACCAAGCGCUCCAGAGGCUUUGGGUUUGUCACCUAUGCCACUGUGGAAGAGGUGGAUGCAGCCAUGAAUGCAAGGCCACACAAGGUGGAUGGAAGAGUUGUGGAACCAAAGAGGGCUGUCUCGAGAGAAGAUUCUCAAAGACCUGGUGCCCACUUAACUGUGAAAAAGAUUUUUGUCGGUGGCAUUAAAGAAGACACUGAAGAACAUCAUCUAAGAGAUUAUUUUGAACAGUAUGGGAAAAUUGAAGUGAUUGAAAUCAUGACUGACCGAGGCAGUGGCAAAAAGAGAGGCUUUGCUUUUGUGACCUUUGAUGACCAUGACUCUGUAGACAAGAUUGUCAUUCAAAAAUACCAUACUGUGAACGGCCACAACUGUGAAGUAAGGAAAGCUUUAUCUAAGCAAGAGAUGGCUAGUGCUUCUUCCAGCCAAAGAGGUCGAAGUGGUUCUGGGAACUUCGGUGGUGGUCGUGGAGGUGGUUUUGGUGGGAAUGACAACUUUGGCCGUGGAGGAAACUUCAGUGGGCGAGGUGGCUUUGGCGGCAGUCGAGGUGGUGGUGGAUAUGGUGGCAGUGGGGAUGGCUAUAACGGAUUUGGUAACGAUGGAAGCAACUUUGGAGGUGGUGGAAGCUAUAAUGAUUUUGGCAAUUACAACAAUCAAUCUUCAAAUUUUGGACCCAUGAAAGGAGGAAAUUUUGGAGGCAGAAGCUCUGGCCCCUAUGGUGGUGGAGGCCAAUACUUUGCCAAACCACGAAACCAAGGUGGCUAUGGCGGUUCCAGCAGCAGCAGUAGCUAUGGCAGUGGCAGAAGGUUUUAAUUACUGCCAGGUAAGUAAACAUCUUUUUAUGUUUGAAGUUAACUUUUAUAAAUGAUGAUGAAUCCAGUAACCCUAAUAUAGCUGAGCAGUGCAACAUAGUUAACAUUAUAAUUGCAGUAAAAUUGUGGAUAUUAAGUUAAUAUUCAGAUCAGCAAAAUUUGUGGGAAACAAAACUUGCUAUUGGAUUGUAGCCUUGAGUCUUAAUAUGUUUAGAUUAACAACUUUAUUCCAUAUUGUUCAACAGGAAACAAAGCUUAGCAGGAGAGGAGAGCCAGAGAAGUGACAGGGAAGCUACAGGUUACAACAGAUUUGUGAACUCAGCCAAGCACAGUGGUGGCAGGGCCUAGCUGCUACAAAGAAGACAUGUUUUAGACAAUACUCAUGUGUAUGGGCAAAAAACUCGAGGACUGUAUUUGUGACUAAUUGUAUAACAGGUUAUUUUAGUUUCUGUUCUGUGGAAAGUGUAAAGCAUUCCAACAAAGGGUUUUAAUGUAGAUUUUUUUUUUUGCACCCAUGCUGUUGAUUGCUAAAUGUAAUAGUCUGAUCAUGACGCUGAAUAAAUGUGUCUUUUUUUAAAUGUGCUGUGUAAAGUUAGUCUACUCUGAAGCCAUCUUGGUAAACUACCCCAACAGUGUGAAGUUAGAAUUCCAUCAGGGUGAUGCCAGGUUCCAUUUGAAAUUUAUUUGCAACCUGCUUGGGCACAGAAGCCGUUGUCUCCACAAACAUUGGUGUGGUUGAACUGACAGUUAAUGUGUUGUGACCUGGAGUUCACCGUUAAAAGGGUCACCCAAGCAAAGUCCUGGAGUUUAUUUGGUUAUUAAUAUGAUUGUUGGCACAUCCUAUGCAAUAUAUCUAAAUUGAAUUAUGGUAUCAGAUAAAAUUAUAGAUGGGAUUAAAGCUUGUGUAUCGUCCAUUAUCAUGUGUAAUCAAUAAACGAUUUAAUAUUCUCUUGAAUGGAAUGACAACUGUAUGGAUUUGGGACUGGCAGAGCUUUGGACUUUCCCUACCCACUACCCCUCAUAAUGUUGAAUGCUUCUAUCACGAUUCAAGUUCAAAACUCUGCCAGAGAAUAGAAACCAGCUGCUGGCUAAUGCCACCCCAUAAGUCCACAGAUUAGAAGUGUUUGGGAGACCUUUUUAAACUGACCAGCACCAGUAAGAAUAUCUUCUUUUUAAUACAAAAACAGGCUUACAUUAAAGGAAAACAGCAGUUUUGUGGUUGGGUGGGUCCUUAAUAGAGGUCUAUAGAUUAACUGUACUAAUUACCGAUUUGGACAUUAAAAUUGCGGAGAUGGGGAGGCAACUUACUAUGUUCACGCUAACUGCAGUUUUCCUUUAAAUAUGGUACAUCACACAACCAUCCUAAAAUGUUAAUUGUAUAGAAAAUGAUUUCUGAAGCCUUUUUACAGUCACUUAAUAUCCAAUCAUUGUUAUUUGUUACAUAGGUUCUUUUGAGCCCUCCCUUUGGUACCCUCAAUUUCAGUGCCAUUGUAUCGGGUAGCAUAGAGAAUUGUUUAUCACUAGGACUGUGUAUUCCCUCCCAAUUUCGUGGGUGUGUUACUUGGAAGUUUGGGGAGGAGGGCGGAGGGGGGAGCGGGUGGGAGGUGGGUGGGAAAGCAUGGGUGAUAGUUCCGUGAGUUUGAUAUUGGCUGAGUUUGCAAUGGCAGGUGGAACCUUAACUAUUGAGGGAGUUUGCAGAUACCUCAGGAUUCGUGACAAUGCCUUUAAAGAUCCAGGAGAGAUGUUCAGCUACUAGGAACUGCUAGCAAGCAUAGCGCGAAUGGCUCCGAGCUCAGACACUCUACAGCUGAGAGUAGACACUUGUGGUAUGUGGAGUACAGAUAAGCCAGGGGCAGGCCACGGCACGCUCCAUGAAAGCUAGGAGGGAGUGAAGUUUCAGUGACCAUCGCGAGAAAGGAGGCAGACAAGAGUAAGGCACACCUGACUCUUAGGACUAGCAGUCAGAACCAGGAGAAAAGGUUUUAUUGCUAUGCUGGUAGGUAAGAACAGAUUUUACUUCCAUCCAUAUAGUGUUCUCUAAAAUCCAGUUUUCUGUUAACAUUAAUCCUUCAUAUAUUGAGCCAAAACUAGUCCAGUUAAGCUGAACUUGGUUUUUCUGGAGAUGAAUUUUCUUAAAUUGACACCCUAGAUUUGGUGGCUCCCAAAUGAAGGAAGUAAACACUUUAAUUCUGUGACAAUAUAUUUUUGCCCUUUAAUUUUAUUUCCUACCUUCCUUUGACCCAUUUCCUUAAAACGAUGGCUCAAAGUAAUGUGUUAGAAUCUUCCCAAAAGUCUGGGGGGAGGGAGGGUGGACCCUUUUGGGGAGGGGGAGGUGGGGGGUUUACCCUGAGCUGGGACUUGGUCUCCCAAAAAGCUAGUUCUAAAGGUUGUUUACUUUUCUAGGGAGGAGUCUGCUACUCCAGGCUAAUCAACUCUCUUUAAAAAUAUAAAACAAAACAAACUCAUCUGUCCAAAUUUAUGGCUAAAAGGAACAUCCUUAUGAGGACAACCUUUAUCUGAGCCACUGCACUUCAUUUUCACUACCAUGUAGUUGUUAGCUGUUCUGCAGCUUGAAUUAAUCAUUCAGUUUUAUGAAUGGACUUUUUAAAUAAAAUUUCUUUUGAUUU